GCAAUACACUGAUGGCGACGGCAAACGGGUGCGGAACACGUACAGAACCUUCCUUCGAGCGGGGAAUAGCCCAGAGAAAUUUGGAUUAAUACCCCAUAGUAUAGCGGAGAGGCAUCUCUCUGUUAUUAAAGAUUUAUCACUUGAAGAUGGCUGUGCGGCUGAUUAGGUAGUUGGCGGGUAACGGCCCACCAAGCCUGCGAUCAGUAACUGGUGUGAGAGCACGACCAGUCACACGGGCACUGAGACACGGGCCCGACUCCUACGGGAGGCAGCAGUAAGGAAUAUUGGUCAAUGGACGAAAGUCUGAACCAGCCAUGCCGCGUGGAGGAUGAAGGUCCUCUGGAUUGUAAACUUCUUUUAUAUGGGACGAAAAAAGGUCUUUCUAGAUCGUCUGACGGUACCAUAUGAAUAAGCACCGGCUAACUCCGUG
rnacentral:rRNA from 1 species